AACGCUCCGGCCAUCGAUUGCAGUGAAGCCCUUUUUGGAGCCUGAGCAUUUUUACGCACAAAAACAGAAGCAAGGCCAUCUAUCCCCUCUAAUAUUUAGCUCCAUCAGUGCUAAUAUGGCAUCAUGGCUGUAUUGAUAGGUGCUCACAUAAAGGCUCCAUUUAUAGCUCCGUGACAUUUUUGAUGGUGGAAAUUAAUUAUUCACAGGUUAGGAUUAAGGUAGACACACGCUCAGGGAGAUGGGCUGUGGCUACCGUUGGAGGGUCAAUAAACUCCCCCAACAAACAAAAUACUAAGCAGAGUUGCUAAGGGGGUCGAUUACAGAAACAGCAGAGAGGGUUUUGUUAUUGUUUUUUUUAAAGGUGGGAAAAAUAGAUUUAAUAAAUGAAACCGUGACAACAGUUAUGUUUGUUGGCAUAAAGGGGGGUGGGAAGUGUAGGACUGCAGGGUUUGACAAACGGCUGUGUGGACAUUUCAACGUGCAAUACCCCGGGAAGGAGCUGCAGAGCUGUGCGCAGAGAGCCAAGGCAUUCACCGUCUCCAAGUCUCUCUUACACUCUGUAAACACAACCAGCCCGGCAGACUCUGCUAUUGAAGACUGAUAUUUUCAUAAGCUAAAUACUGUCGUUCCCAUUGAUUUGUGCACUAACGCUUGACUUUUUUUUUCAUCCUCCUCCUUUUGGACAACCAUGAAAUGCUGGCACAGUGUUUCAGUUAAACUUCAGGUCCAUGCCUCAGUUGUCUGCUGGUUUCCUCCAAGGAGAGCUCAGUUAGUCAGCCUGAACGCAGCUGCAUUCACGUGGAGCGACGGAUUUUGAUAUUCUAGUCACACAACAGAGCAAACACUGCUCUCCUAUUCAAUAAACAUCAUUGAUAAGGAAACAUAUCCAGUCAUUAGAAAUACUGAACCUAACCCCACCGAGGACCAGCACUUUCUUUUGAUUUUAAACAAAAUAUGUGUAAAAGAAGAGAAGUUUUUAUUCUUGCCUGUUUAAACAUAAAGUGAAGAGAAUCCGCACCAUGAGGAUGUUGUAAAAAAUUCCAUUUUUUAAUUCUGAAAAUUUACUGUAAUAUUGAGUAAUCCUUGAAUGUAAAUGCAUUAAAAAUAAUUUAAAACUGUC